rnacentral:rRNA from 1 species
AAGGUUUCCGUAGGUGAACCUGCGGAAGGAUCAUUGUCGUGUCGCAUAUCUAUCUCGAAUGACCUGACCCGACACACUUGCGAACAGUUGACCCCGAACCUCCUUUUAAAUUCGUCGGCCGGGGUGGAGGUAGGCAAUUGAAUGGUCCCUCUCGGCAGGUGCUGGUCGGUUUGGCUCGCCUCUCCGUCCGAUCGUCUGUCUGUUGUGCCUCCUCUGCCCCUCCGUGCGGCCCCCCUCCCUGCCCGUCGGCCUCGCCGGCGGCCGCAGAGCGGCGGGACAACGAACCUCUCGGCGCGGUCUGUGCCAAGGAUCACAGAGUGUGGAAUGCCCACGUGUGUGCCUCGCUCUGAGCGGGGUGGCGCAUGGUGUCGGUCGCCACGAAUGAGUUUUCUAAUGACUCUCGGCAACGGAUAUCUAGGCUCUCGCAUCGAUGAAGGACGUAGUGAAAUGCGACACGUGGUGUGAAUUGCAGAAUCCCGUGAACCAUCGAAUCUUUGAACGCAAGUUGCGCUCGAGGCCAUCGGGCCGAGGGCACGCCUGCUUGGGCGUCACGCCCUACGUCGCUCCUCGCCCUCCCCCCAGCCUGUGGCGUCCACCUGCAUUGGCAUGGCGGCUGAGGACGAGGAUGUGGAGAUUGGCCUACCGUGCUCUGGUGCGGCCGGCUGAAGGAGCUCCGCCCUCUUGCGUGUGGCGAGCACGGCGAGCGGUGAUAAAUUUCGCGCUGUGGACACUACUGGUCACACGCGUUCAUCGUUGUCAUGCCAAUCGCUGUGAAGGAGGGAACCCAUCCGCGAGUCGAUGCAAGCUGUCGCUCGGACUGUGACCCCAGGUCAGGCGGGGCCACCCGCCGAGUUAAGCAUAUAAAUAAGCGGAGGAAAAGAAACUUAUCAGGA